rnacentral:rRNA from 1 species
AUGAUACAUCAAGCUAGCACGAUGCGAGAGCAAAUGUUCAGAGGGUACUACCUUCUCGAUGCCUUCAGGUGCAGAGAGAAGAAGACCGAUGACGAGGAGGUGAGUCACUUCUUGUUUGCUCAAUCCAAUUUCAAUCCGGCCAAGCGUUUUCGCCGCCUUUCUAGCAACACUCAGAUUGAGAGCACGGUAACUGUUAGAGUAAGCAGUCAGGAGCUUAGACAGGUUGUUCUUGGCCUAGAAAGCAUGCUUGUUGAUAUGAAGGAGUUUGCUAUAUUUCUGAUGAGCUACCCUCGCAUGUACCGCCAACCCUAUGGUGCAUAUUUAUUUGUGGACAAGUAUAUGUUUGGCCGCCAAAUGGAGAGGGAACAAGCCAUCCACUUCUUGCUACAAGCAGAGCUUCCGUAG